rnacentral:RNase_P_RNA from 1 species
ACAGCGUACGAGGAAAGUCCGGGCUCCAUAGAGUGAUGAUGCUGGAUAACGUCCAGUAAGGGUGACCUUAAGGAAAGUGCAACAGAAAAUAACCGCCAUUAAUUGGUAAGGGUGAAAAGGCAGGGUAAGAGCCUACCGCUAAUAUGGUGACAUAUUAGGCUGUGUAAACCCCAUCUGGAGCAACACCGAGAAAGAAGGUUAAGGCUACUCGCCAUCUUCUAAUUUGGUGGCAUGAUGCUUGCAGUAAUGUAAGUACUAGAUAAAUGACUAUCCUAGACAGAACCCGGCUUAUAGAUUUACU